rnacentral:rRNA from 1 species
CACGUAGGGCGCAAGCGUUAUCCGGAUUCACUGGGUUUAAAGGGUGCGUAGGCGGAUAUGUAAGUCCGUGGUGAAAUCUCUGGGCUUAACCCGGAAACUGCCAUGGAUACUAUGUGUCUUGAAUGUUGUUGAGGUGAGCGGAAUAUGUCAUGUAGCGGUGAAAUGCUUAGAUAUGACAUAGAACAUCGAUUGCGAAGGCAGCUCGCUACACUAUUAUUGACACUGAGGCACGAAAGCGUGGGGAUCAAACAGG